rnacentral:rRNA from 1 species
UACAGAGGUCUCAAGCGUUGUUCGGAUUCAUUGGGCGUAAAGGGUGCGUAGGUGGCGCGGUAAGUCGGGUGUGAAAUCUCGGAGCUUAACUCCGAAAUUGCAUUCGAUACUGCCGUGCUCGAGGACUGGAGAGGAGACUGGAAUUCAUGGUGUAGCAGUGAAAUGCGUAGAGAUCAUGAGGAAGACCAGUGGCGAAGGCGGGUCUUUGGACAGUUCCUGACGCUGAGGCACGAAGGUCAGGGGAGCAAACGGG